GCUCCUUUAGUAUAAUGGUUAGUACAAUAGUUUUGUAAACUAUGAAUAUCUGUUCAAUUCGGAUAGGGAGCACCA
rnacentral:tRNA from 1 species